rnacentral:snRNA from 1 species
GGUGAAACCCCUCUCUGAAAAAAAAAAAAAAAAAAAUACAGUAAAGAUUAGUAUGGCCCCUGUCAAAGGAUGACACACAAAUUUGUAAAAUGUUUCAUAGUUUU